rnacentral:rRNA from 1 species
GAUGAACGCUGGCGGCGUGCCUAAUACAUGCAAGUCGAACGAAACUUCUUUAUCACCAAGUGCUUGCACUCACCGAUAAAGAGUUGAGUGGCGAACGGGUGAGUAACACGUGGGCAACCUGCCCAAAAGAGGGGGAUAACACUUGGAAACAGGUGCUAAUACCGCAUAACCAUAGUUACCGCAUGGUAACUAUGUAAAAGGUGGCUAUACUACCGCUUUUGGAUGGGCCCGCGGCGCAUUAGCUAGUUGGUAGGGUAAAGGCUUACCAAGGCAAUGAUGCGUAGCCGAAUUGAGAGGUUGAUCGGCCACAUUGGGACUGAGACACGGCCCAAACUCCUACGGGAGGCAGCAGUAGGGAAUCUUCCACAAUGGGCGAAAGCCUGAUGGAGCAACGCCGCGUGGGUGAAGAAGGUCUUCGGAUCGUAAAACCCUGUUGUUAGAGAAGAAAGUGCGUGAGAGUAACUGUUCACGUUUCGACGGUAUCUAACCAGAAAGCCACGGCUAACUACGUG